GACGAACGCUGGCGGCGUGCUUAACACAUGCAAGUCGAACGGAAAGGCCCUGCUUUUGUGGUGUGCUCGAGUGGCGAACGGGUGAGUAACACGUGAGUAACCUGCCCUUGACUUUGGGAUAACUUCAGUAAACUGGGGCUAAUACCGGAUAGGAGCUCCUGCUGCAUGGUGGGGGUUGGAUAGUUUCGGCGGUUGGGGAUGGACUCGCGGCUUUUCAGCUUGUUGGUGGGGUAGUGGCUUACCAAGGCUUUGACGGGUAGCCGGCCUGCGAGGGUUACCGGACAAAUUGGGACUGAGAUAAGGCCCAGACUACUAAGGGAGGCAGCAGUGGGGAAUAUUGCACAAUGGGCGGAAGCCUGAUGCAGCAACGCAGCGUGCGGGAUGACGGCCUUCGGGUUGUAAACCGAUUUCGCCUGUGACGAAGAGUGAGUGACGGUAAUGGGUAAAGAAGCACCGGCUAACUACGUG
rnacentral:rRNA from 1 species